rnacentral:tRNA from 1 species
AUCUAGGUAGUUUAAUAAAGAAUAUUAAUUUGUGGUAUUAAAGGUGUAAUUUUAUUCUAGAUA